AAUAUUGCACAAUGGGCGCAAGCCUGAUGCAGCCAUGCCGCGUGUGUGAAGAAGGCCUUCGGGUUGUAAAGCACUUUCAGCGGGGAGGAAGGCGGUGAGGUUAAUAACCUCACCGAUUGACGUUACCCGCAGAAGAAGCACCGGCUAACUCCGUGCCAGCAGCCGCGGUAAUACGGAGGGUGCAAGCGUUAAUCGGAAUUACUGGGCGUAAAGCGCACGCAGGCGGUCUGUCAAGUCGGAUGUGAAAUCCCCGGGCUCAACCUGGGAACUGCAUUCGAAACUGGCAGGCUAGAGUCUUGUAGAGGGGGGUAGAAUUCCAGGUGUAGCGGUGAAAUGCGUAGAG
rnacentral:rRNA from 1 species